rnacentral:lncRNA from 1 species
CCUGGGUUGCGUGCCCCGGAUGACGGCUUCUAGUCUCGGUGAGUCUGAUGUUGGCCCAAUCGCACGCGGUGAGCGCGCGUAAGGGCUCAGGCAGAGUCCAGGGAAGGCCAUGGGCCGCGGGCCCAUCCUGGGAGCCCCGCUUCUGCCAUGAGGCCUCAGGCUGUUCGCUCGGGGCAGCGCACAGCUGCCGUUUCCCCAGGUGGGACCCCGCGUCGCCUCGCGGAGCCCUCACAUUGGCCGCACCCGGGGCGGAGAAGUAUUGUUCAAACUCAGAUUUCUGUUGAAGCCAGCCUCAAGAACCACCUGUCACCCAUGUAUGGUUUCCGUGUAACCGAGUGAGUAACAUGUGGAAUUUGCAACAAGGCUGUGUUCCAGCAGGCUGUGCUAUGUAGAAGAACUGCUAAUGAACUUUUCCCAUGCCUAUUCUACAAGGAGCCCUAACAUUGAGGGUUUUUUAAAAAUUAGGUCUGUUUGGUGGGAGAAGGCACUUAGAUCUGUAUAGCCAUUUGUGGGUAGAUAAGUCAGGAAAUAGUUAUGUGUGUAAGUAAGUACAUACAAAACAAACAUGAGGAAUUUAAAAUAUGUGUAUCUGUAGAGAAAUGUAGAUGUUUUUGCAUGUGAAAAAUAUAAAGAUUUUAUAUGUAAA